UACGUAGGCAGCAAGCGUUGUUCGGAGUUACUGGGCGUAAAGGGUGCGUAGGCGGCUUUUUAAGUCUGGUGUGAAAUCUCCCGGCUCAACUGGGAGGGUGCGCCGGAUACUGAGGGGCUAGAGUGUGGGAGAGGAAAGUGGAAUUCCUGGUGUAGCGGUGAAAUGCGUAGAUAUAAGGAGGAACACCUGUGGUGUAGACAGCUUUCUGGACCAUAGCUGACGCUGAGACACGAAAGCGUGGGUAGCAAACAGG
rnacentral:rRNA from 1 species